GCCUUCGUGGUGUAAUGGUUAAUACACUCUGCGCGUAUUCUAGAGGUCCAGGUUCGAGUCCCGGUGAGGGUA
rnacentral:tRNA from 1 species